rnacentral:rRNA from 1 species
CACAAGCAGCGGAGCGUGUGGUUUAAUUCGAUGCUACACGAAGAACCUUACCAGGGUUUGACAUGCAAGUGGUAGGAACCGAAAGGCGACCGACCCCUUCGGGGAGCUUGCACAGGUGCUGCAUGGCUGUCGUCAGCUCGUGUCGUGAGAUGUUCGGUUAAGUCCGCUAACGAGCGCAACCCUCGUCGUAUGUUAUAUGUGUCAUACGAGACUGCCGGUAAAAGCCGGAGGAAGGUGAGGAUGAUGUCAAGUCAGCAUGACCUUUAUAUCCAGGGCUACACACACGCUACAAUGGUCUGUACAAUGGGUAGCCAAGCCGCGAGGCGGAGCCAAUCCUGAAAGCAGGCCUCAGUUCAGAUUGCAGUCUGCAACUCGACUGCAUGAAGCCGGAGUUGCUAGUAAACGCAGGUCAGCCAUACUGCGUUGAAUACGUUCCCGGGGCUU